GGAGGGUGAGUUACCUGCUUUGCACAGGGAGCCUGAGGCCCAGGCUUGCAUGGUGUGUCUGCUGCCACCAAGUGGUGAGGGAGCCUGGGAGAGUCUUAGUCUUUCUGGACUUGAGUUUUCUCAUCAGCAAGGUAGGGGCUUAUUUUACCUCUCUGAGGUCCCUUCCUGCACAGUUUUGUCCGAGUUCUUGAGGGACUAAGAUGGUUUUUAACACUUCCUGGACCUGUAACCUGCACUGACCUCUGUGGGUCUGACUCCUGACUGGCCCCUGUGUGUCUCCUGCAGAGCCUGAGCUGAGUCCACACCCUGGAAGCACAGAACCGAGGGAUCAGAUGGAAGAAAGAAAGUCAGCAGGUUUUGGGAAAGAGAAUAACCUGCAAAGGACAAGUCAAUGAUAGAACAGAAAUUGGGUUGGCCACACUGAGGAGACACUUCUCACCUGCCUGAAAUGCCCUUCAUUAUCUUCUUCAAGUUGCAAGGGCUCUGGAACAGCCCUUACAGUGCUCCCAUAAAGGAAUCUCCUGCCUCUGGCCAGGGAGAACCACAGCGUGGAUCACAGCUGGUUUAUAGUAAGGGGCAGCUUCGACUCCAAGAGGGGAAGGAUGUGACCAUCAGCCCCCACCCCAGAUGCAGGAGUCUCGACCUCGUUGCUGCUCUAGCAGUGGAUGCUCUUCAGGUCAGUGUGGAUUAGAGGGAAUAACCGCGCUUGGACAAGUGUUGGAGAUAUCUAUUCUUACAUCAAACAGCUCUGCCCUAGGUCAGGUGCCAGAGUAAUUGUCCCUUGCUUAUAUAUGAAGCAGUGAUACUUAAAAUAUUCUUCUGCACCUUCAGUUGAGGGAAGUUUCUCAUAAAUAUUUAUUGAGUAUUUUUUUUUUUUUUAUGCUGUGCUAAGCACUUGGGAUUCAGGUAUUUACUGUCUCUCUA